ACAGCAGUAGCCGCGGUAAUACAGAGGGUGCGAGCGUUAAUCGGAUUUACUGGGCGUAAAGCGUGCGUAGGCGGCUAAUUGAGUCGGAUGUGAAAUCCCCGAGCUUAACUUGGGAAUUGCAUUCGAUACUGGUUAGCUAGAGUGUGGGAGAGGAUGGUAGAAUUCCAGGUGUAGCGGUGAAAUGCGUAGAGAUCUGGAGGAAUACCGAUGGCGAAGGCAGCCAUCUGGCCUAACACUGACGCUGAGGUACGAAAGCAUGGGGAGCAAACAGGAUUAGAUACCCCGGUAGUCCCUGUCUCUUAUAC
rnacentral:rRNA from 1 species